rnacentral:lncRNA from 1 species
CGCUUGCCCUGUCCGCCCGCGCUCCCGAGCGACACGGCGCGACCGGCCGACCUCUUCCUCAUUUUCGCUCAUGGAUGGAAAAACUCACUGCGCUUGUAGUGCGGAGGACCUGGGGAGCCUGUGGCCGAGGCGAUCCGAGGCUCCUGUGGCCGAGGCGAUCGAGGCUCCUGGUGGUUGGGUUCCUGUCGGGCUUGCACACUUGGACACGCCAACUUUCUUUGACCUUCUUCAAAUCUCCAGUGAUUUCUUUGCAACAUACUCAAACUAAACCCCGGUCCAGGACCCCCACUCUUGUGGCAUGUAUUUUGCCUGGUAGCAAGCAUGAACAGCUUUGGAAUCUGAACCCUGGAGUUGAAUCCCACCUCCACUAAUGGGUGGGUUGUAUUACC